AAUUCAAAAAGCAGCGGUACUGAUUUCAGAGAGACGAAAAUGGAGCAUGUGGAAAGCGAAACCAUAUCACGAAUGGUAACUGUUUGUGAUAAAGCAGGGCUACUGACUUUACAUCUGAAGCAAAAAUCAUCACCUUAAAGCCACUACCAACGUGGAAGACAAGUGCAGGAUCUAGAGAUGACGAUGUGAGAAAUCGGGGAUCUGAAGGUUUCACUGGAAAGUCUUUCGGUGCUGGUGGAUUUCAGAAUAAAUUGUGAGUGGCCUUCUCAAUCUGCCGUUGCUGCUGCUUCUGCAUCCUUCAUUUUAGCCUAUAGGGGCUGGAAUUUGCUUUGUAAGUGUUGAUUCAAGUUAUGAAUUUUAAUUAAAGGGGACUUUUAAAUUUAACACGAGCAUUCAAAAUUUCACCGGUUGAUUAUUUAAAAUUUUCAUUUAGUAUGAUAAGUUUUAUAAUGAA